CCUCUCCACUUUAAUCGGUUCCGUACACAGAUGAAAGCAGGCACCGUGACAUGGAAGGAGAGGCAGCUUGAGACAAAGGAGAUCCUGGUGGAAACUGUCCAUGGGGCAAGUUGUUUUCACAGGAACAAAAAAUUUUCAUUUCUUUGAAAAAUCAGCAAAUCUGGAAACACUUGGCCUGCAGGUCCACCUGCCAACUGUCACCUGGAAUGCGGUAACCGCUGCCACUUUCAGAUGGGACCUGUGCUCUGCUCUUCAGUUCACUGCAGUCCUCACCUGGUCAACUUCGUGCAUUUACAUUAUCUGUCUGGAUCUUGCAGACAUCUGUGAAAAACCUUUCACACCCAAGUUUCAUUUAAGAUUACUGAUUCUCUUUGCCUAAAGAUGUCAUGAAGACCAGUGCAGUUAAGUUCCUUGGGAAAAAAAUCUAUAAAACAAAGCACAGGGAUCUAUCGAACUGGAUGGAGACGCAGAUCUUUGAGGCACGUUAAAUUCAACGAGGUGACGCCCUUCAAUCUAUGGAGGAAUACGCCAUUAUUAUUGUUAUCAUGUAUCCAGCUGCUCCUGAAUGUGGCUCUUUCAUGUUGUCCACCCAUUCUGAGAUCCCAGGACAAUGGGAAGUCAUCCGCUUCUCAAUUCGUGGGGCUGGGAUUAGAUCCAGACAGGGUGAUGCCAGAGUCUGUGGCAUCAGACAAAACACUUAAUCACUAUGCCUUACUCUCCUCAUCUCUAAGAUGGGGACAAUAACAGUUAGGCAGAAAGCCUAAGUUGGAGCUGAGCUAGGAGACAAUUUCGUAACACAUAUCAAAAGCUUAAAAUUAAAUUUGAUUAAGUAAUUCCACUUUCAGAGAUCUGUCCUAAGAAGAUAUUCACAACUAUGGCUCAAAAUAUAUAUACAACGCAGUGGUUCCAAUUUUUCCCUAUUAUAAAUACUCCCAUUGUUUAACAAUAGAAUAUGAUUAAAUGAAGGAUGGUUUAUACAAACAAUGAAGCUUCAUGCAGACAUUUAAAACAAUGCUUUCAAA
rnacentral:lncRNA from 1 species